GUUAACUCCUGCUCUCCUCUGUGACAAAGGCAGAUUUUUGUUCAAGACUAGAGGAGGGAAAUUGAGUAUUAAAGACGCCCCAUAUUUAUUUUGUUAUUUAUUUGUGUGUAUAUGUGUGUGGUCAUGGGGGGGGCAUACCCACUGUGGCCAGAAGAUGGUAUCACAUGCCCUGGAGGUGGAUGUGAACCGGCUGAGGUGAGCCUGAACUCUGAUUCUCUGAAAGAGCACAGAACAUUCUUAACCACUGAACUGUAUCUCUCCAGCUCCAGGAACAUCUCCAUUUAUGAACGAGAAGAGACUCGAACAUUCUGUGGUAUCCUUUGAUGGCUACAAGGUAGAAGCCCGAGGGACCCUAUCUUUGGAGGUCUUUGGCACAGGACCACUAGCGAGAAGUGCAGACACAGGUCCCUGCAAAGCAGGCUUCAGUCCCUCAGUUCUGGCUGCAUUUGCUCCAUGCCUACGGAAAGCCUCAGUUUGCCUGGUCUUUGAAUCUGUCGAGAGAAUUCAGAAAUUGUUUUAAAGAUGAAAUCCAGUUUUCAGAAGGCAGCUAAUCCAAACCACAGUGGGAACAGACCCUGCUUUUCCACCUUUCCUGGAGGCCCCUCUGCCACCAGUCAGCUGGGAGAGGCUUUGACUCCCCGUCCUAGUGCUGACUGUAGACCUUUGUCCCCUGCUAUCUGGCCAGCCUGAGUUCCAUGGGACUGGUACAAUGAUUAACUAACCCAAUGGCUUUCUACAUGGGGGUGCACACCCAUGAAGCCACAUUGAGAGGAGAAAGCAAAUUUGAGGACAUGUGCGGAAUGCCACAGGACCUCAGCCAAGCCACCUGCAGCUCAAGGUUGUCACAGAAAAGGUGUCAGAACAGAGCUGCUGAAGGAAAGAUCCCUCUGACACUAUUGAGAAAGACAGAUUUGAACUGAAUUUCACGGACCAGCCAUAUAUCCAUUAAAUGUGCUCAGUUCUACUCUGGU